UGAGGAAUAUUGGUCAAUGGGCGCAAGCCUGAACCAGCCAUCCCGCGUGCAGGAAGACGGCCCUAUGGGUUGUAAACUGCUUUUCCGGGGGGAGAAUUUUUCCGUCGUGACGGGAAUUGACGGUACCCCGGGAAUAAGCAUCGGCUAACUCCGUGCCAGCAGCCGCGGUAAUACGGAGGAUGCGAGCGUUAUCCGGAUUUAUUGGGUUUAAAGGGUGCGUAGGCGGAAUGAUAAGUCAGUGGUGAAAACCUGCAGCUUAACUGUAGACUUGCCGUUGAUACUGUCAGUCUUGAGUGUGGUCAAGGUAGGCGGAAUGUGUAAUGUAGCGGUGAAAUGCUUAGAUAUUACACAGAACACCGAUUGCGAAGGCAGCUUACUGGGCCAUUACUGACGCUGAUGCACGAAAGCGUGGGGAUCGAACAGG
rnacentral:rRNA from 2 species